GCCAAAGAGGAGGGAAGUACAGGCUCCGGCUGAGGGUAGAUAAAAGUAAUCCGAGGACAAGAAGAAAAUAUGACUGAAGUUUGGCUGACAAGCAGUUGGUCCCACUUGGGAGUUCAGCAAUCACUGAUGAGGUCCCAUGUACAUGUGAAGUAACCAGCCCAGUCCACCCUGACUCAACGCCUGCAGCACACAGCUUCCAGCCUCUGGAAGGAACGUCCAAACCAGGCACGGCUAUGAAGGAAGGGAUUUAUUGAAGCCUGCAGAUGCGGGGGACGUUCCAUCAUGGCAGAAGAAGUUGGCCCCCUUUCACAGAUCCAAGCAGAGAGAAAAGCCACCAUCAGCACCAGCAAGUAAACAAACUUCAGGAACUCCAGGCAAAGCGUAAGCACUUUGCAUGCCUAUAGACUGGAAUUCCCCAAACACGCUUUAGGGCUGAACCCUAGGAUCCACCUACAGCGACAGACACCUCCUCCAGCCAGGUUGCUGGAGAUCUAAGUCACAAGCUUUAGUCAACUCUUGAAUGUGUUGGGCGACAUCCAUUCAAACUACCACAAUGUCUAAUUUGUACCCCUAUGGGUAGAAGGGUUUCUGUUCCAAGUCAGCUUGGGAACUUUAUGCUUUACUUUUUAAAAAUAAAAUCUUGCUUAAUUCA